CACCUUCUUCCUCCUCCGGCGAACUCUGGUCCUCUCGCUUACUGUUUCUGAAACGUCAACAAAUCCUAAUUGCAAUGCAUGAUAACAUGAAUGUUGAAAACAACUGAUUUUGAGAAAGUGGAUUGCCGUGCCAACCUUGCUUCUGAGAUUGAGAAUUCAACAAGGAAGAAAGAAUAUAAUUAACUUACUGCUGAAAGGAAAGACUAUUUGCUAAAUGCUGUGGUGUUUAACUCGCCAGGCUUAUUUAUAGGCGGUAGGUGGUGGCCACAAAGACCCUUCGAGGAAGGCCGGAAUGACAUCAACAUUAAAUGAAGGUGAGGAAGACAAGUUCAGUUCAGAAACUGUGGUUAAAUCAGUUUCUGACUGUGGCAAGGGAGUGAAAGCUGAAAAGCUUUUUGAAGUGCUGGUGGGGAAGACAAACUGAAGGAAUUCACAUGGGGAGCACCCCACAGGUUUCACUUUGAACACGCGUCACAAUGUCCAGGUACUCGGCAUCUCAUCUUGCUUACGUUGCUAUACCUAUUCCCUCCUGACAGAAGAUAAACAUCAUCCAUUUGAAUCUUCAAGUCGAGUGAUGAUGGCUUAUUUGGAUUCCCUUGUGGAUUCUGUGGUCAAGCCUGCACUCUGCACGCUUGCUGGGGGCUUAAUUAGUUACUGCUAGCUCUUGCUUGAUUUGGCCUAAUGCAGCAAGUGCCUUUUUGCUAACCUCGCUCGAGAACAGUGGGCUUUUUUUGGCGCAUGCAGCGAUGUAGCAAUCAGCUUUGGAAACCUCAGCAAUAAUGGUGGACAGAGCCGUCUCCCAUUUGUUCAGCCACUUCGUCUCCGCAUCUGAUUCAAAGAUUUUGUGCGAGAUAACAUCAAAAAAAUAUUCAGGGUGAGGAAGUGGAAACUUGGGAGGGUCCCCUUGGCCUUGCUGGGUUGCGCCUGGCUUGCCUCUCUGGGUAAGCCAACUAUCUUCUCCACCUCCAACUCCAUCUUUUUUUUUUCCCCCUUCUCUUCCUGUUACAAUACAAGCAAAUCUUAUCUCCUCCCUCCCACUCAUAGUCAUGGAAGGCUACCUCACCACCUUUAUUGCAAGUGAACUUUAGCUGGAAGGAUUAGCAUGACUAAGAGUGGCAUUGUGGGCUCCUAGAAAUGGGGCUCUCGGCUCUGUCUCUUCUUCCACCUAUAGGCCAUGGCAGUCACCUUUCAGGGAAUGUAUCUUUAUAUUGAUGUGAUAAGCAGGAGCCGGUUGAGGAUCCAAAGUCUUUGGCUGAGGGUGGCACUGGGACUGCCACGGCAGUGGGCUUCGUAAAUGGGCAAGUUCAGAAGGAGGUGGGGAAUGCCUUUGCUGGGAGUGCAAAGCACCUAGUGGCAGUGCCUGUGAGACACCUCCUCCAUUUCUGGGUUCCUUUUGACCUCCUCCUUUUUGUUGCAGUGAAUGUGGAUAAGGCACCAAGCCUCUGACUCUUGUCAGCCUUUGCCUAGCUGCUUUGCGAAGAGGCCAGGGCCUGGACAAGGGAAUAUUGUUAGUACAAUCUGAAGCUACUUUUCACUUAAAGAGAUAUCUUUUCUUCACCUUUACCAGACUCAGUUCUCACAGUCGUCCCUGUUCAUUGCACUCGGAAGUUGGAAUCUGAGUUCAUCAGUUAUCAAUCAGCUGAGGCCUGGGAUUAAGCUCAUAGCUUUUGUACUAUUCCAUGACCAUAUUUAUAUCAUGUAUCAUCUCUUUUUUUUUUUUUUUUUUUUUUUUUGAAAUGUUCAAACAAAUGUUUCUUGAGAAUAUUUUGAAUAUGGAGAAUGAAUGUGGCAGUGGUGAGGGAGCUCCUUCACUUUUCCCAUGGAGCAGCUCCCUGCUCUCUUUUUUUUUAAUUAAAAUUAUUUUUUAAUUA